rnacentral:rRNA from 1 species
GACGAACGCUGGCGGCGUGCUUAACACAUGCAAGUCGAACGAUGAAGCUAGAGCUUGCUCUGGUGAAUUAGUGGCGAACGGGUGAGUAACACGUGAGUAACCUGCCCCGAACUCUGGGAUAACUGCUGGAAACGGUAGCUAAUACUGGAUACGACCUACGAAGGCAUCUUCUGUAGGUGGAAAGAAUUUCGGUUCGGGAUGGACUCGCGGCCUAUCAGCUUGUUGGUGAGGUAAUGGCUCACCAAGGCGACGACGGGUAGCCGGCCUGAGAGGGUGACCGGCCACACUGGGACUGAGACACGGCCCAGACUCCUACGGGAGGCUGCAGUCAAGAAUCUGCCUCAAUGGCCGAAAGGCUGAAGGAGCGACGCCGCGUGCAUGAAGAAACCCUUCGGGGUGUAAAGUGCUUUUCUCUGGGACGAACACAUGACGGUACCAGAGGAAUAAGGGGCUGCUAACCUCGUGCCAGCCGCCGCCGUAA